rnacentral:ncRNA from 2 species
GUUCGUCGCGCACGGCUAGGCGGGAUUUGCGAACAGGAAAGGGAAUCCGGUGCGAUGCCGGAGCUGCCCCCGCAACUGUCACCGGCGAGCCUUCCGCUCCUCGCACGCCACUGGGUCGCCAGCGAUCCGGGAAGGCGGGCGGCAGGCAUGGACCCGGGAGCCAGGAAACCUGCCUGAUCGCGGUUGUCCAU